AGAACGAACGCUGGCGGCAUGCCUAACACAUGCAAGUCGAACGGAUUGCAGCAGUGUAAUCAGUGGCGAACGGGUGAAUAACGCGUGGGAACCUACCUCGGAGUUCGGAAUAACCGCGGGAAACUGCGGCUAAUACCGGAUACGGCCUGAGGGCGAAAGGAGCAAUUCGCUCCGGGAGGGCCCGCGUCCGAUUAGCUA
rnacentral:rRNA from 1 species